rnacentral:rRNA from 1 species
AUUGCCUUAGUAACGGCGAGUGAAGCGGCAAAAGCUCAAAUUUGAAAUCUGGUACCUUUGGUGCCCGAGUUGUAAUUUGGAGAGGGCAACUUUGGGACCGUUCCUUGUCUAUGUUCCUUGGAACAGGACGUCAUAGAGGGUGAGAAUCCCGUGUGGCGAGGAGUGCGGUUCUAUGUAAAGUGCCUUCGAAGAGUCGAGUUGUUUGGGAAUGCAGCUCUAAGUGGGUGGUAAAUUCCAUCUAAAGCUAAAUAUUGGCGAGAGACCGAUAGCGAACAAGUACAGUGAUGGAAAGAUGAAAAGAACUUUGAAAAGAGAGUGAAAAAGUACGUGAAAUUGUUGAAAGGGAAGGGCAUUUGAUCAGACAUGGUGUUUUGCGCCCUCUGCUCCUUGUGGGUGGGGGAAUCUCGCAGUUCACUGGGCCAGCAUCAGUUUUGGUGGCAGGAUAAAUCCGUAGGAAUGUAACUUGCUUCGGGAAGUAUUAUAGCCUAUGGGAAUACUGCCAGCUGGGACUGAGGACUGCGACGUAAGUCAAGGAUGCUGGCAUAAUGGUUAUAUGCCGCCCGUCUUGAAACACGGACCAAGGAGUCUAACGUCUAUGCAAGUGUUUGGGUGUAAAACCCAUACGCGUAAUGAAAGUGAACGUAGGUUGGGGCCUCGCAAGAGGUGCACAAUCGACCGAUCCUGAUGUCUUCGGAUGGAUUUGAGUAAGAGCAUAGCUGUUGGGACCCGAAAGAUGGUGAACUAUGCCUGAAUAGGGUGAAGCCAGAGGAAACUCUGGUGGAGGCUCG